UUCUACUGUAUAUUGGAUCUCCUCUAUUUAUUCGUCAUAUCUCCUUCAAUUGUGACCAUGAGGAUUGGAAAAAAAAAAAAAGAGUACAAAAGUUGCCAUAUAUCUUCUAAUUUUGCUGGAGAGAAAUGUAAGAAUUUCAGUAACACAUCCUAAUCUGGGUAAUGUAUCAUGAAAUAAAACAAACCACAAAGCCCAAUUCCUAGUCCUGAAGAAUAUACAUUCCCCUGCAUAUAUUUCCUGCGUGUACAGUGCAAGGUUCUUUUUCUUGACGCCAGCAGAUGUGCCCAAGGCCUAAUGGGGCUUCGAGUGCAACUUGCAUCUGCAAUUGUCCACCAAAAGAAUGAAGGCACUAUUACCACCAAGCCCUCCUCCCUCUUCCUCGAAUCCUGCGUCAUCACGGAAAUCCAAAAUCCAAAACUUCUGUACUAUAUACAGUCUACUGGCAUUCAGAUUUGUUAUUGCUAUCUUUUUACUCUAGCAAUGUCUACUGCCUGAGUCCCAGAUUCAAUGUCUGGUUCGGACACUGGAUUCCGAAUUGGCCGACAUUGACAUUGUUCGUGUACAAUUGAGAAAGUCCAUUCAUAUUCUGUUGGAAGUAACCUGAUUUAUCAAACCGUUGAUUCCUGAUUCCGCUUUCAACUUCUUCGUCCAGAUUAAUACUUUCAACCUUGGUGUUGCUUCUGAUAUUCGUAGGAGGAGCAUUAACAUCAUUCAGAAAAUUCAUAUUAUUGUUGUUCUGGAUGAGGUUGUUGACCUGCGCCUGAGCCUGGGCGUGAACGCCUGGAGCUUGAUUUGAAGGGCCCAAUUCCGGCAUUGGUUUGAGCCCUGCGAGUAUCGCCCAAUCAAAAUUGGCUGAAUCCAGGCGUUCGAGGUUCAGUUUUUCGGUUUUAAGAUAGCUCAAUCUUGGCAAGUUAGAAAACCGAUCAUCCAUUUCUGGUAAUGAUUCGAGCAUAUCAUCGAAUUGGGAUGAAGAAGAAGUCGUCGAAGAAGCAGCAUGGCUGUAUUCAUUGCUGCGUAAACCAGGCAUAAGAGGUUUUGGUCCACUUGAAUUCUUCUUAUAAAUUCGACAUAACACCCAUUCAUCUAGCUGAAAUAUACAAACACCAUAUACACAUUAAGAAUUGCAACCAGACAAUUGAAAAUGAGGUAGAAUUGCACAUUUGGUCUUCCAGUUAUUGUGAAUUUUGACUUUGGCCGUUGAGCCAAAGUCAUGUUAACCUCCAAUCAAUUAAAAUGUACAUUCCUGGUCCCUUUAUUAUACAAAACAUGUUCUAUUUACACUUUUUUCCAGAUUAACCAAAUUACUUUUAACAUAUAGAAGCAUACCAGGUGCAAAGGUACAAAUUCAUCGUAUAGAACCACCCACCCCUCCCCUCCCGGCCCGAUUUAUGUAACACCCUUUCUUGCACUGACUUUAUGCGACUAUUUUCGUUUUAUUCCAUAAAAAAAUAAGGGACAUUUUUUCACAUUCAAUGACAAUUUAACUUCAAACUACUCAUUUUACCCCUAAUGAAAUGUUCAAUAACCACAUAAAUUUUUAUGGCUUAUUUUUAAUAAUUCACUUAAUUUGCAAAGAUUCACAAGAAAGUGAGUCGAAAGUGCACAUUUUAGUUGAUUGAAGGUUAAAUGUACUUAAAAAGAUCAUAAGUACUAAAAUUUAUGAAUAAUUGAGGAAUUAAAAGUGCAAAUUUUCGUGAAAAAAAAAAAAAGAAAGGAGUAAUGUGAAAUUACCUUUGAACUUCCAUUUUUCCUUGAAGUUUCAAAAAGUCUAUAUUCAUGCAUGAUCCAAUUAGUCUUGGAUCCUUUUGGUGCUUUACCAACAUAAAACACAAGCGCUUUCUUAAUUCCAACUUUCCUCCCUUGUGAUGUUAUAACCUUAUCAGUACCCGUUGCUUUCCAAUAACCCGACCCGGCAACUCUAUUGGGUCGAGAUCCAUUUGGAUACUUCCUAUCUCUUGGACUAAAAAAGUACCAUUCUUUUUCUCCAAACAUUGCCUUACCUAUAACAAAUCAAACACGAAAAAAAUCAUCAAUUAACAAAUUCAAAUAAUUAAUAAUACAAAAAUAUAAUUUAAAAAUAAUUGGUGAAGAAUUGAGUCAAAAUUAAUUUAACAUUUCCUGUUAGUCGUAGUGGCAAACUUCCAAAGCUACAAAUAUCUCAUUGUAUGCGUAAUUUACAAGUUUCAAAAGCCCUUUUUUCCCCAUAAAUUCCAACCUCAUUCAAAUUCGAAUACCUAAAUUAGUGUUUCAUUUUAUAUAACACUAUUUUCUUAUUAGUUCAUUAAAAGCAUCUCAAUCGCUACACUCUAAAAAUAAUUUGACUUUAGAUUUUUUAUUACCCUUAAUGACAUAUUUUUAAAGCUAGAAAAAUAUAAUGAUACAUUUAAGACUAUAAAAAAAAACUCUUUUCCUUUUGAUCGGUCCAAUAUCACAAAGUAAUACCAACUAGGAUUACGGUGUGACAGAUAGAAUUCGUUCAUUAUUAACUAGAGGUCUCAAUUUCGAUAAGCUAAACGCAAAUUUGAAUUAAACAAGCCUCGAUUCAAUAUCAGAUACUGAGCAAAAAUUCCAAAAGAAGAUUGAACUAGAAACUUACUAGGUAGAACCCAAGGAUCAAAUUUGUACAAAUCAAUUUCUCCAAUAAUUUGUAGAGGAAAAUUAUGGCCAGCAACUUUCUUACACAAAUAUUGAACUAAAAGCUCUUCAUCAGUCGGAUAAAA